UCUUAACUUUUCUCCUUUUAGUAGCUUUUUUAUGUAGAAACCAAAUGGAUAAAGCUUCAAUCUCAUCCAUUAUUUUAGAAAGGUUUUCACUAACUAACAACGCGUGUUUCUUAAACGAGAAGAUAUGUUUAACUGAAAAACAAAUGAUCAACACCGAGCUACGAAAUUAUUUGGAUACAGUAUCGCAUAAGUAUCUUGCUAGCAGAUGCGUAUCGCAUACGCGUAUUGCGAUACGCGUAUCGUCGUGUGAAAGAGCUCUUAGCCAAUAGGAGCUAAGCAAGCGCCGAGCGUCGUUCGUCGACUCUCGGAAUCAUUCGGUUCGGCAUGGCUCGUUGGCCAUCGAGCGUUGAGAGUCGAAACAGAUGUCAUCAUUCAUAACCUGCCAAGUGUCAAAACUUUUGACACUAUUGCAUUAUUAAUUACAUUUAUAUCAGCAACAUGUUUUCAAUUUAGACUUUUUAUGUAGAGCUUGUGGAAAUGAAAAGGGGCCACAGGAUUGGAGAUUAACAAAUUGCUGCCAGUAAAGUAAAAUGUAGAUCAAUUUUGAUUACAAGAUCCAUACCACCAAAGUGUUUUGAAUUUAGACUUUGUAUGCAGAGCUUAUACAAAUGAAGAGAACCACAGACUUGGAGGUUAUUCGUUAACAAAUUGUAGCAACUGUUGUAAAAUGUUUAUCCAUUUUCAUUACAAGGUAAGUGAUCAAAAUUUGAAUUGUCAGGUACCUUCAUUCGUACAGAAUAGAUCCAUACCACUAAAAUGUUUUUAAUUUAGACUUUUUAUGUAAAGCUUAUAGAAAUGGAGUCAUUUUCUCAUUUCAUCAUUAACAUUAUAAUUUCUUGCAGCAAGAAAAACAAUUGCAGGUAUAUAUAAUUAUUUAUAAAUUGAACGAAUAAGUGUUUAUAAUUAAUAAAUUAUAUGAAAUA